rnacentral:rRNA from 1 species
GAUGAACGCUAGCGGCAGGCUUAAUACAUGCAAGUCGUGGGGCAGCAGGACUGUAGCAAUACAGUUGCUGGCGACCGGCAAACGGGUGCGGAACACGUACGCAAUCUACCCAGAACUGGUGAAUAGCCCUCCGAAAGGAGGAUUACUACACCGUAAUAUUAUAAAGUGGCAUCACUUAAUAAUUAAAGCUCCGGCGGUUUUGGAUGAGCGUGCGGCCCAUUAGGUAGUUGGUUGAGGUAAGGGCUCACCAAGCCUGCGAUGAGUAACUGGUGUGAGAGAAGGGCCAGUGACACGGGCACUGAGACCCGGGCCCGACUCCUACGGAAGGCAGCAGUAAGGAAUAUUGGUCAAUGUACGCAAGUCUGAACCAGCCCUGCCGCGUGGAGGAUGAAGGCCCUCUGGGUUGUAAACUUCUUUUAUGGGGGACGAAAUCACUUAUUCUUAAGUGUCUGACGGUACCCCAGAAAUAAGCACCGGCUAACUCCGUGCCAGCAGCCGCCGUAA